rnacentral:piRNA from 1 species
UUUGGGAACUGAAUAAUGAAU